rnacentral:rRNA from 1 species
UAGGGAAUCUUCCGCAAUGGACGAAAGUCUGACGGAGCAACGCCGCGUGAGUGAUGAAGGUUUUCGGAUCGUAAAGCUCUGUUGUUAGGGAAGAACAAGUGCCGUUCAAAUAGGGCGGCACCUUGACGGUACCUAACCAGAAAGCCACGGCUAACUACGUG